GUGAGGCGAUGAGGUUAGCGCUGAGAUCCAGCUCUGAGAGAGUUGGUAUAUUCCUUGUGGCAGCUGGAACGGAUGCAAUUCUGUUACGACUCAGACUCAAGAUCCUCAAACCUCGAAUAGAUCUGAAGGCCUCAUCUUGGAUAUUUGUUAUGGGUUCCUGGGAUCGUUGCCUCACUCAGAGGGUUUAGAGGCCACGAAAACCCAGCUGGACCCUCACAAGCGUGUGCUCAUAGAUGCUGUGUGAUAAAGCAGUUUCCAAAUCCCAUAGUGUCUGCAGUCGCAGAAAAUGCAAUGAGUCCUACUCAAAGAUAACCGACCCUCCACUCCAAGAAUAAGGAUUGUGAUAUUUUUCAGUUUCAGUUUGGGUCCACCAUUUGUACUGUAUUCUUGUGACGGAGUACCUUCACUACAGCUGAGUAAGCGCUUGGAGUGCCAUACGUUGCUGUCAAAGCGUUGCAUGUUUGAGGGACCCCCAUGGGUAACAUUAAGGAUGUGAUGUGUAUAGUGUACUUUUCAUUAAUACUGAUCAUAUAUCAUCAUUGUACUGAUCUUAUUUUUAUUUGAAGGUAUUUUGGUCAAGAUGUGAUACAUGCUGCUGUACC